AGACUGCACAGCUUCCAAAGAGCAUUUACAUUCAUUAUCUUAUUCAAUUUCUCACUAACUCAUUGACAUGAUUAUUCUUACCUUAAGAGUUAGAAGACUGAAGUUCAGGGUCAAGAAGUACAUUGCACAAGGACACACAGCCAGUAAGUGGCAUAGCUGGGAUCACUCAACCAAAGAGGUCUUACCACCCCAGCAACCACAAGUCUGUCCUCUAUGUCUGUGAGUCGUUUCUGUUCCAUAGGAUGGAACUGCUGCCUCUGCAGCAACCAAAGCUGCUGCCGUCAGAUUCUUAACCCAUGGGGCCACCCGGGGAACUCUGAACUAGGAGUUUAUAACUGUCUGUCUCAUCCACACUGAGCCUCCAGCCAUCCAUCAGUGAUCAUCAGAAGUCCUCCUGCCCAUUUAUGGCUCCAGAGGCUCCAGGGAGGCUGAUCCAGUUGUGAGUCCCUGUUUUCCGUCUCUCCAGUUUCAAGGGUGGAGUUUGCCCUGCGAACUCAAUUCUGAGAUAGAUAAAAUCUGCAGUUUGUUCAGGUUGGCUUUCCUGUGAGGAUAGAGGCCUUCUGAAAUCUUCACUUGUUGGAAUUGGAACUGAAAGUGUGUGUGUAUAAUUUUUAAAAGUCUAUAUAAAAUUUUUUUUCUUUUUUUCUUUUUAAGGCCACACUGGCGACAUAUGGAGGUUCCCAGGUGACAGGUCAAAUUGGAGCUGCAGCCUAUACCACAGCCACAGCAACGCAGGAUCCGAGCCUCGUCUGUGACCUACACCACAGCUCAUGGCAAGACUGGACACUUAAACCACUGAGUGAGGCCAGGGAUUGAACGUGCAUCCUCAUGGAUACUAGUCAGGUUCCUUACUCUGAGCCACACCAGGAACUCCUCUCCUACUUUUCCUGAAUAAAGCCACUUGAGACCCAUUAGUGAUGCCCAGUUAGUGAUGCUGGGGGAAGAAAGUUGCUGGGAGAGCUCUGGGCCCUGGGCCUUGCUACCACCAGCCUUGAGCAAGGCCAGCAAAAGUCAGAGCAGUGUCCUGAGCAGCAUCCUGUUUGCUGCCGCCUGUCCUUGCGUGUAUUCUUUGUGCUUCUUUGAUAGCACAUCCUGUGAGAUAAACAUUAUUAUCUCCACUUUAAAAUGAGGUGGAAGAGUGGAGGGGGUAUUCCUUUGCUCCAUCUCUAGGCAGCUGGAAAGGUGUGGGGCUGGGAUUCAAACCUGUGUCCUGCUCUUAAAGUUAUUUAAGGAGUUCCCGUCAUGGCGCAGUGGUUAACGAAUCCGACUAGGAACCAUGAGGUUGCAGGUUCUGACCCUGCCCUUGCUCAGUGGGUUAAGGAUCCGGCGUUGCCAUGAGCUGUGGUGUAGGUUGCAGACGCGGCUCAGAUCCCGUGUUGCUGUGGCUCUGGCGUAGGCCGGUGGUUAUGGCUCCGAUUCGACUCCUAGCCUGGGAACCUCCAUAUGCCGCAGGAGCGGCCCAAGAAAUAGCUAAAAAGACCAAAAAAAAAAAGUUAUUUAAGUCUGCGCUCUCUUCCGGUUCCCCCAUCAGGUCCUGGGCACAGCCAGUGCGAGACAGCCAUGCUGCCAGCAUCUGCCCCCAGACGUACAGGCAAAUGCUGUGGGGGAUGUCGUGGCAGGCCUGUUGGAAAUUUGGCUUGGAGCCGCCAUUGUCUCAGCAUUUUGUCAUCUGGCCCUGGGCAGGGGGCUCGGGGUGGAGGCCACUUUUCAUGGGAACUCAGGCAAGGAAGGAGUGUGAACCAUUCGACUGGGACCCAGGCCAAGAGAACGAGAAGAAAGCUGGGGUCCUGGCCAAGGCUCCAGGCCCACGGGAGCCUCCAGCUGGAUGGGGCCUUGCGGGCCGGGCCAUGUGUGGGCCGGGGAAAGUCGUCGAGUUGCUGGCAACUCUUUGUCUGCAGGGGAGAGAGACAAAGAGCAAACAGUCAGGACAAACCAAUGGACUUAGUGCUGCCGUCCCGGGAAACGGGGGCCUCUGAUUACCCAGGAAGGGGCCAGAUCCAUUAUGAGGAGCAGUGAGGCUUCUUGCAGGAGGAGACCAUAGGGUUGAGCAGAGUUUGGUCAGGGCAAGAAGGGGACCUGGACUUUGUGUCAGGUGGAGCAGCAGGUAAGUAGAGCCUGUGGAUAAGGAAACAUCUGACCCAUUGGAGCAGUUCAGCUCCAAAGAAUUCACCGUGUCCUAAAUAUCAGAUGUGAAACACAGCAUAGCAAGAAAUGAGGCUGGGGUAUGGAAGGGGUCCAGAUGCCAGAUAUUGCAUGGAACACACCUUAAAAAACAAACAAACAAACAAAACAAAAACCUCCCAUUUGUGGCUCAGCAGAUUAAGAACCCAACUGGUAUCCAUGAGGAUGUGGGUUUGAUCCCUGGCCUUGCUCAGCGGUUUAAGGAUGCGGCAGUGUUGCCAUGAGCUGUGGUGUAGGUCGCAGACGCAGCUUGGAUCUGGCAUGGCUGUGGCAUAGGCCAGUGGCUGUGGCUCUGAUUUGACCCCUAGCCUGGGAACUUCCAUAUACCAUGGGGGUGGGCCUAAAAAGAAAAAAAAAAAAAA
rnacentral:lncRNA from 1 species